rnacentral:rRNA from 1 species
UCCUACGGGAGGCAGCAGUGGGGAAUAUUGGACAAUGGGGGGAACCCUGAUCCAGCCAUGCCGCGUGUGUGAAGAAGGCCCUCGGGUUGUAAAGCACUUUCAGCGAGGAAGAACGCCUAGCGGUUAAUACCCGCUAGGAAAGACAUCACUCGCAGAAGAAGCACCGGCUAACUCCGUGCCAGCAGCCGCGGUAAUACGGAGGGUGCAAGCGUUAAUCGGAAUUACUGGGCGUAAAGCGCGCGUAGGCGGCUUGAUAAGCCGGUUGUGAAAGCCCCGGGCUCAACCUGGGAACGGCAUCCGGAACUGUCAAGCUAGAGUGCAGGAGAGGAAGGUAGAAUUCCCGGUGUAGCGGUGAAAUGCGUAGAGAUCGGGAGGAAUACCAGUGGCGAAGGCGGCCUUCUGGACUGACACUGACACUGAGGUGCGAAAGCGUGGGUAGCAAACAGGAUUAGAUACCCUGGUAGUCCACGCCGUAAACGAUGUCGACCAGCCGUUGGGUGCCUAGCGCACUUUGUGGCGAAGUUAACGCGAUAAGUCGACCGCCUGGGGAGUACGGCCGCAAGGUUAAAACUCAAAUGAAUUGACGG